UGCCAGACUCCUACGGGAGGCAGCAGUGGGGAAUAUUGCACAAUGGGGGAAACCCUGAUGCAGCGACGCCGCGUGAGUGAAGAAGUAUUUCGGUAUGUAAAGCUCUAUCAGCAGGGAAGAAAAUGGCGGUACCUGACUAAGAAGCCCCGGCUAACUACGUGCCAGCAGCCGCGGCAAUACGUAGGGGGCAAGCGUUAUCCGGAUUUACUGGGUGUAAAGGGAGCGUAGACGGCAUGGCAAGUCAGAUGUGAAAGCCCGGGGCUCAACCCCGGGACUGCAUUUGAAACUGUCAGGCUGGAGUGCAGGAGAGGUAAGUGGAAUUCCUAGUGUAGCGGUGAAAUGCGUAGAUAUUAGGAGGAACACCAGUGGCGAAGGCGGCUUACUGGACUGUAACUGACGUUGAGGCUCGAAAGCGUGGGGAGCAAACAGGAUUAGAUACCCCAGUA
rnacentral:rRNA from 1 species